AGCGAACGCUGGCGGCAGGCCUAACACAUGCAAGUCGAACGAACCUUUCGGGGUUAGUGGCGGACGGGUGAGUAACACGUGGGAACGUGCCUUUAGGUUCGGAAUAACUCAGGGAAACUUGUGCUAAUACCGAAUGUGCCCUUCGGGGGAAAGAUUACUCGCCUUUAGAGCGGCCCGCGUCUGAUUAGCUAGUUGGUUGAGGUAAUGGCUCACCAAGGCGACGAUCAGUAGCUGGUCUGAGAGGAUGAUCAGCCACAUUGGGACUGAGACACGGCCCAAACUCCUACGGGAGGCAGCAGUGGGGAAUCUUGCGCAAUGGGCGAAAGCCUGACGCAGCCAUGCCGCGUGAAUGAUGAAGGUCUUAGGAUUGUAAAAUUCUUUCACCGGGGACGAUAAUGACGGUACCCGGAGAAGAAGCCCCGGCUAACUUCGUG
rnacentral:rRNA from 1 species